rnacentral:rRNA from 1 species
UACCAGCACCCCGAGUGGUCGGGACGAUUAUUGGGCCUAAAGCAUCCGUAGCCGGUUCUACAAGUCUUCUGUUAAAUCCACCUGCUUAACAGAUGGGCUGCGGAGGAUACUAUGGAGCUAGGAGGCGGGAGAGGCAAGCGGUACUUAGUGGGUAGGGGUAAAAUCCGUUGAUCCAUUGAAGACCACCAGUGGCGAAGGCGGCUUGCCAGAACGCACUCGACGGUGAGGGAUGAAAGCUGGGGGAGCAAACCGG